rnacentral:rRNA from 1 species
AGCAGCCGCGGUAAUUCCAGCUCCAAUAGCGUAUAUUAAAGUUGUUGCAGUUAAAAAGCUCGUAGUUGAAUUUCGGGAUUAGUAGUCUGGUCGUGCCACUGGUAUGUACUGGUCUUACUGAUUUCUCCUUCUUGAAGAACCCUAAUGUCAUUAAUUUGGUGUUGCGGGGAAUCUGGACUGUUACUUUGAAAAAUUAGAGUGUUUAAAGCAGGCCAGCGCUUGAAUACAUUAGCAUGGAAUAAUAAAAUAGGACGUUCGAUCCUAUUUUGUUGGUUUCUAGGAUUGACGUAAUGAUUAAUAGGGAUAGUUGGGGCAUUAGUAUUCAAUUGUCAGAGGUGAAAUUCUUGGAUUUAUUGAAGACUAACUACUGCGAAAGCAUUUGCCAAGGAUGUUUUCAUUAAUCAAGAACGAAAGUUAGGGGAUCGAAGACGAUCAGAUACCGUCGUAGUCUUAACCAUAAACUAUGCCGACUAGGGAUCGGAUGAUGUUAAUUUUAUAAUGACUCAUUCGGCGCCUUACG